rnacentral:misc_RNA from 1 species
CAAAGGGAGCAAUGCGGAUAACCCUGCUUUCAGACAGCAAAAAUUAGAAACAACCUGGAAUUUUAUUUCUACUGAUUGUUUAGAUAAUAUAGUUACAGAAACCAAUUAAGAUACAUGUAAUGAAGUAGCAAGUUGAAUAUUGGCAAUCCUUUAAAGUAUUUGUGUGUUUCCAGUCUCACUUUCCAAACAAUGAUUUUUUUAUCACAAGACAUGAGAAAAUGGAAUUACAAAAAAAUACUCCAACAUACACUUUCUCCUUAAGGACAGGAUAAACUUCACCCAGGUAAUAAUUAGCCGGAGCCCAAGCUUGGACAUGGAUGUUUGGAAUAUUACUACUGU